rnacentral:lncRNA from 1 species
GAACUCAGGGGCACUCAACCACUGAGCCACACCCUCAGCCCUAUUUUGUAUUUUAUUUAGAGACAGGGUCUCACUAAGUUGCUUAGUACCUCGCUUUUGCUGAGGCUGGCUUUGAACUCGCAAUCCUCCUGCCUCAGCCUGCCGAGCCCCUGGGAUUACAGGCGUGUGCUACUGUGCCGGGCAGACAGAAUUCUGAGGCAUAUAUUUUGCAUUUUUCUCAACUCCCCACAGGACAGAACUCCCAGGGUGGCAGUUGGUUUCACACAUCCACAUAUACACUCCCAUUGGACACCUUCCCUUCCCAGCAUCACUUCCCCAAAACACUACUCAAUGAGAAUCCUCAUCUAAAAUUCUGUUUCUGGAAGAACCCAAACCAAGGGUAGCAUAAUUUUUAUUUCAUAUUCUUCUAAACUGUUUGACGUGAUUGCAGGUGGAGCCCUGGAUGAAGGUUAUUCAUAACCUGUCAGCAGAAUGAUGAGGGAAGUCAAUUUCAGGAAGGGCUUGAGUCAUGAGCAGGAAGGAGAACUUUAGUUGACAGGUUGGAAAGGGCAAGUUACAGAUGGUAGGUUUCCAGAGCAGUGAGGUGAGCCCUGGCUGUAUUAUUAGAGUUCAAGUUCUCCACGUGCCUUUACUGCCUGAGCAGGAUGAAAGAGCUCCUACCCUAGUGCCAGGCACCUUCAUUCAAUUCAGAUUAUACUCAUAUUAAAGCCUCUAAUUCUGCUGCUUCAAUGCAAUUAAUAAUUCCUGUUCACAUGGUGCCACAGGAAGAAAGGAAGUGCCAAAGCCCAAAAGCCACCACAGCUGCUUAGGAUGAAAAUUCCCAAAACACAGAUCAAAGUGACAGAGAAGCAGGAAGCAGUCCUGAACAAACCUCUAGCUCCGAGUCAGGGUUUUAAAAUACAAAGACUGUAUAGAAAUUAACGCUAUGUUCCAAUUAUUCCAAGAAGUAAUAUUUCACAUCUUACUAUCUCUGUAAUUGAGGAACAUCAUACAAUGGAUGUAAAUCAUACUGAUUUGCAGUUUUUCAAUGAAAAGUUAUUAUAUCUUACAAUGAACAGUAUACCAAUUCAUGUGAUAUGAGCAAACAAGAUUUGGGGGGA